rnacentral:rRNA from 1 species
ACGCCCGACACCUACGGGAGGCAGCAGUUGGGAAUAUUGGACAAUGGAGGAAACUCUGAUCCAGUGACGCCGCGUGAAGGAAGAAGGUCUUCGGAUUGUAAACUUAUUUUGUCAGGGAAGAAAAAAUGACUGUACCUGAAGAAAAAGCACCGGCUAACUACGUGUCAGCAGCCGCGGUAAUCUGAGCGGGCUGGCAAGGC